rnacentral:misc_RNA from 1 species
GAUGAAGAACGCAGCGAAACGCGAUAUGUAAUGUGAAUUGCAGAAUUCAGUGAAUCAUCGAGUCUUUGAACGCACAUUGCGCCCCCUGGUAUUCCGGGGGGCAUGCCUGUCCGAGCGUCAUUGCCGCCCUCAAGCACGGCUUGUGUGUUGGGCCCCCGCCCCCCGGCUUCGGGGGGCGGGCCCGAAAGGCAGCGGCGGCACCGCGUCCGGUCCUCGAGCGUAUGGGGCUUCGUCACCCGCUCUGUAGGCCCGGCCGGCGCCCGCCGGCGACCCCAAUCAAUCUUUCCAGGUUGACCUCGGAUCAGGUAGGGAUACCCGCUGAACUUAAGCAUAUCAAUAAGCGGAGGA